UAAUUCCGGAAAAAAACGAAU
ensembl:piRNA 21ur-1533 ncRNA